UUUCCAACAAUCCUUGCCUGCUGCAUGCCAAUCUCUAAGCAAUUCAAUAAAUUUUAAGUUAGAUUGAUAGCAGGAGAUGGAUUUAAGUUUGAACUUAAUUGUGUAAUGAUUUUUUGUAAUGCCGGUAUCUAGAUAUUCAUGUGCCUAAAAUGGCAGGAGCUAGAAAUUUUAUGAUGAUGAAGUAUGCAGGUUCAAUUUAUAAGUUGCCUUCUUAACACAUAGCUAG
rnacentral:misc_RNA from 1 species